CAGUCGCCGCGGUAAUACGGAGGGUGCAAGCGUUAAUCGGAAUUACUGGGCGUAAAGCGCGCGUAGGCGGUUACUCAAGUCAGAGGUGAAAGCCCGGGGCUCAACCCCGGAACUGCCUUUGAAACUAGGUGACUAGAAUCUUGGAGGGGUCAGUGGAAUUCCGAGUGUAGAGGUGAAAUUCGUAGAUAUUCGGAAGAACACCAGUGGCGAAGGCGACUGACUGGACAAGUAUUGACGCUGAGGUGCGAAAGCGUGGGGAGCAAACAGGAUUAGAUACCCGCGUAGUCCCUGUCUCUUAUAC
rnacentral:rRNA from 1 species